CGGAGAGUCCGAGGCGUACACUCCGGUGCUCCUCGCUGGUAGACCAAAACUCUGUCGAGAGUUUUGGAGCAGAACAGGAGGAGCCUCGGCCGCCGCUUCGCUCGCCGCCACGAGAAGAGCUGCUGAUGCACCUCCUCUGCUUGGGCCGGUAUUCAGACACACCUAAGUUCUUUUACCUACUCUUCGGUAUGCUACCACUCCAUAAUUGAGCAGCUCAACUUCUUGAGGUCGCCCUUGCACUACUUGACUCUUUUCUAUAGCUCGUUAACACAUACGUUGUUCGACCCGGACCAAUACAAAGACAACGUUGAGCUUACGAAAGAGUCUCCUGUUGUCGAGACCUCGUCCUAUAACUCUAGGAAGUCUUCUUCAAUUCACCUACGAAUUCUCUCUUGGUUUUAAACGUUCUCCUCGAACGACUCCGAAUAGCUCAAUUCUCGGUCGAACGACUAAAUAUACCACGACUCGAUAGUUUCUGGUUCCUCGAUCUCGUCGUUCACUCCAAAAAGGUCUCGUCGCAACGAGUUCGUAAACGACUUGCUCUACCAAGUAACAACCUCACACUCUUUCGUUUCCUCGCUCUUCUUCGUCCCAAUUUUUACACGCGAUGGAAACUCCUUUCCUGCUCUCUUAUAGUUUGACGUUACCUUCUAGUCUUUGCAAACUUGCUACGGGACGUUUACCUCAACUGUCUUGAUUUUCGCGUAUGUCUUAGAAGGAACUUACAAUAAUUUUUUAAGAUACUUCAAGCAAGCUCCCUUACACUUACGGGAAGUUUGUAAUGAAAACUUCUCUUUACGAGUUAAGAAGAUCUACUAAGACGACUGUCAACCUCAAAGUUGGACCUACCGCUUUGGAGUUGAAGCUUCAUGUAACGUAGAGAUCUUGUCCUCUUACUCAGCGAAUUUCGAUUUUAUAGAUUCGACGUUUCGUUAGAUUCUUACUCAAAGCUUUAACUUGUCGUGAACGUUUCUUUACAUGCUUGUGACCUUUUCUUUGUCCGUGAGUUACUACUAGAAUACUCUCUACCAGACAGUCGAGAAGUUUUUCAGAUAUGUGUAGUUUCCCGACUUUAAUACUUUUAUAACCUUCUUCUUAGUGAAGACAAUUCGUGCCGACAAUUACUCUAAGUUCUGUUCAAUUGAGUUUAAACGUAGUUACGACUCUAGUAACCAUUGGGACAACUCUUCUACGUUACGACACUGUCAUCAACAUUUCUGCACGUACAAUGAUACCUAUAACCGGGACUUUGGUAGGGGUUCCCACUACAAGGAUGUCCAAUAAGAUGUUGUAAACUACUAAGUUUUCGUGAACGAGUUUGAAACGUCCUCUUCUACCUCCGCGAAUACGAAAAGAGUGUCCUUGUUCUUUCUAUGGACAACCUUUUUGUCUUCUUGGUUCGAUAAUAUCUCCUGGAAGUCUUCUUGAAUAGAGUUCAAUUUCUACUUUUCCACUUCCAGGACUACCUCAAUCGUUUUGACUUUCUUCGAAUAGAGGACUUUACGAGAUGACGUUUACUACCAGUACCAUAACAACUAUGAGGUUUUUAGUGAAGACCCGUACUGGUUGUUCCCUACGACUUCUGAUAAGAAUUGUCUUGUAGAGAUUCUGUUACCUAUUUUUUCCUUUUAUUAUGACCCGUACUCUCGAGAGCACCUUUACUAGUCUGUCACACAUCUCCCACGAGUCAUCUAGAUAGUUCCUACUUUCAACUUUUACGAUGGGAAAACCUUUCACAACGAUGAUACCUUGUAGAGUGAAGAAACCAAGUAUCCGACGUGUCUCACGAAUACUUCCAUAUACUACUACAGUUUAGGCCGACAAGAAACCUCUCAUCAAUACUUCGUGACUCGUCAGAAUAUUGUCUUCGCUUGGAAUACUCUUGCCGAGACCCGCAGCAAGAGGGUCAUUCGACCAGUCCCCUAAGUAGUCCACCAUAGUGAAGUCCGAGCGGAUUUAGUAGUUUUAGGCUUUUCCGCCUGGGGGAACCAAGGCGAUCGUACCUCUACAACCUCGAUGAAUAUAAUCGACGCCUAUAGGAGUCUCUCUCGAAAUACAAGUUCUUUACUAAUUUCUAAGUCUUCGUACAUAUGUUAAAUUAGAACUCUCUCUUAACAGGCGAACUCAACUAAAGAAUGACACAUGACGAUGAGACAUUUAUACGCCUUCACCUUUGACGACGUUUUACAAACAUAUAUUUGGACUACCAAACGUACGGUUUCUCUACCAUUUAGGACGUUUGACUACUAAAACGUACAGUUUUAAUGGUCGAUCAUGAACAACUGUUUAAUGUAUGUACUCACUCGCAAACACGGUAAAAAUUAGCGUUUUCUACUGUUCUCAAACAAGGCGUUUAAGCGAUUCGCCAUGAACUGUUCACUUCCGUGUCAACAUUGUAUGAGGGAGGCAUGUUAAAACAUAAUUUCCAUCGUGUUUCAACUCUAUGAUUUAAUCAUGUUUUAAUUCUGUGAAUCUCGACGUCAACCCCUCGCCUCCCUAGGUUUGUCCCGGAAUAAAACUCUACCAGGGAGGUUUGUCCCGGAAUAAAACUCUACCUCCUUCAUAGUGAGUUGAUGUCUAUUUUUGUGUUCGUUAAUUCACUACCUCAACUACUAAUUUGGUCUCUAGACAUGCUGGUUGACAAGUUAAUAAAUAAAUAAUAUAGGUUCAUGUUCGGAGUGAAACAAGAGCAAACGUUGUCAUGUAGUCCUAGUUUGGCUGCCACUACGUUCUUCGCACCGAACACCUUCAUGUCCUCGAGUCCGCAUCAUGAACUAGUUCGACGACAUCAACCAGACGAACAGCUUCAUAGCCAGGGUCUCGUACUACGGCGGCAUCAACAGGAAGAAGACGCGGUGGCCGCGCUGCGGCAUCAUCUGCAAGAACCCCACAUGGGUGACCACCCUGAACAGCAGGCGGCACUCGGGCUGCAUCUUGGCCCACCGGCCCAUGCGGCGGCAGGUGAACAGGGUGCUCGGGAGGGUGGGUUCCAAGACCAACGUGGUGAACAGCGAGAGCAUCCAGGAGUGCACCUGCGCGAGCUUCUAGGGGCAGCGGUCGCGGGCGGGGUGCACGCGGCGGCCGCCCAUGGGCGUGGCCUGGCAGCGGCAGUCCACGUCGCCGAAGGGGCCCGGGGGCGCCUACAACACGAACCGGUCGAGGUCGCGGUCGUGCAGCAUCGCCAGGCGGCCGCACGGCACGAGGUCCUUCUCCAGCUGCGGCAGCUCGGUGCGCAGCGGCUUCCCCGCCCCCUGCGAGCCGAACCUGGGCGGCUUCAUCCUCAAGGUCUCCACCAGCUUCUCCAGCUCGCGCCUCGCCAACCUGCCGUCGCUCAUCGGCCACGGCAUCGGCGGCUACCUCUCCCUCUGUCCCUGCGGGAACCUGACCGUCACGAACUACAGCCGCGGCUGCCUCCUCUCCAGUACCGGCCUCUCCAGCUCCACCAUGAACGGCAACCGCGGCUUCUGCAGCUCCUUCCUGUACCACUGGUACCACAUGUAUGGCCUCAGCGUCCGGAGUGCGUCCCUCGGGAGCCGGAACAAGGCAGGGGUCUUGUGGCAGUGGACCGGCCAGAAAGGGGGGCGGCGGUUCCGGCAGCCCCAGUCCUUAUUCCGGCGCCGCUGCCUCUCCUCCCGGUCCUCCGUCCGACCGGAGGCCCGACGCUCGCCGCGGUAACAACCAAAGAGGUUCAUGACCGAUCAUCGAACACAAGCGAACAAACCUAC
rnacentral:rRNA from 1 species